rnacentral:rRNA from 1 species
GGACCCGCACAAGUAGUGGAGCAUGUGGUUUAAUUCGAAGAUACGCGCAGAACCUUACCAACACUUGACAUGUUCGUCGCGACUUUAAGAGAUUAAAGUUUUCGGUUCGGCCGGACGAAACACAGGUGCUGCAUGGCUGUCGUCAGCUCGUGUCGUGAGAUGUUGGGUUAAGUCCCGCAACGAGCGCAACCCUUACUUUUAGUUGCCAUCAUUUAGUUGGGCACUCUGAAAGAACUGCCAGUGAUAAGCUGGAGGAAGGUGGGGAUGACGUCAAGUCCUCAUGGCCCUUACGUGUUGGGCUACACACGUGCUACAAUGGCAUUUACAAUAGGAAGCAAGACGGCGACGUUAAGCAAAUCCUUAAAAGAUACCUCAGUUCGGAUUGCACUCUGCAACUCGAGUGCAUGAAGCUGGAAUUACUAGUAAUCGUGGAUC